rnacentral:rRNA from 1 species
UCAGUCGACUCCUACGGGGAGGCAGCAGUCGGGGAACUAUUGCACAAUGGGGGAAACCCUGAUGCAGCCAUGCCGCGUGUGUGAAGAAGGCCUUCGGGUGUAAAGCACUUUCAGUAGGGAGAAGGUAGUGUAGUUAACAACCUGCCAUUAUUUGACGUUACCUACAGAAGAAGCACCGGCUAACUCCGUGCCAGCAGCCGCGGUAAUACGGAGGGUGCGAGCGUUAAUCGGAAUUACUGGGCGUAAAGCGCAUGCAGGCGGCCUGUUAAGUCAGAUGUGAAAGCCCGGGGCUUAACCUCGGAAUUGCAUUUGAAACUGGCAGGCUAGAGUCUUGUAGAGGGGGGUAGGAAGUUUCAAGGUGUAGCGGUGAAAUGCGUAGAGAUCUCGAAGGAAUACCAGUGGCGAAGGCGGCCCCCUGGACAAAGACUGACGCUCACGAUGCGAAAGCGUGGGGACGCAAACAGGAUUAGAUACCCUGGUAG